GGAUGACCAUGACAAUGGCCAGGCAUUCUGUUAAGUCCUUAAGCAGAUGUGGUGGAAGCACUAAGGGUAGGAAAGAAAAACCCAUUCUGUGCUUAGAGAGAGUAGCAGUUUCCCGGGAUACCUCACCAUCCUCCUUUGACUCACGUUAAUCUGUGCAGAGCAUCAUUUGCAGAACAAGGAGGAAUAAAGGGGAUGACUACAUCAAGCGUUGUGCAAGAUGAAUCAAGCAACAAUGAGAGACAUAGAAGCAAGAAUAGAAAAGAUGAUUGGUACCCUGAGGUGGCAUGAAUAAAAUGAAUUAAUUUCCCCACAGCCUUCUUAUGACGAAAUGGCCUGUGCUGAAUGUGUGGCAUCUGUGAAAAAGUGCCAGCUAUUCCAUGAACACCCCAGCUCUUUCACUCUUUGUAAAAUAAAGCGGCAUCUGUAUACACACAA